rnacentral:sRNA from 1 species
UCACAACUCGAAGAAUUUUUGACGAUGAGAGCCAAAAGUUCAACGAUUUUUUGGGUCGAAAGAAAACCUUCGUCAAUAAAUUCUAAAAACGCAACGGUGCGGCAAGCACUGGAAAGGAAACAGCUUUUGAUGGCUCCUCGCACCUAGGAUGUUCCCGAAGUGUUACUUACCUAGCCUUUCACGGUAAGAAUAAAACUGAAUGAAAAAAUGGCGUCAGAAGGCUGGGGCUAGAUUCGCAAAACAAACGUGACAGCUGCAUGACAGCUAUCGGUGGAGCAUGCAUGACCUUGGCCAAAUAGGAAGAACCACCUGGCAUGACGGCGGCGAAGAAAAAUACAGUUUCCAACAUUCUGUCAGCGUCAGUCGGA